AGUGAACGCUGGCGGUAGGCCUAACACAUGCAAGUCGAGCGGCAGCACAGUAAGAGCUUGCUCUUACGGGUGGCGAGUGGCGGACGGGUGAGGAAUACAUCGGAAUCUACUUUUUCGUGGGGGAUAACGUAGGGAAACUUACGCUAAUACCGCAUACGACCUACGGGUGAAAGCAGUGGAUCUUCGGACCUUGCGCGAUUGAAUGAGCCGAUGUCGGAUUAGCUAGUUGGCGGGGUAAAGGCCCACCAAGUCGCCGAUCCGUAGCUGGUCUGAGAGGAUGAUCGGCCACACUGGAACUGAGACACGGUCCAGACGCCUACGGGAGGCAGCAGUGGGGAAUGUUGGGCAAUGGGCGCAAGCCUGAUCCAGCCAUACCGCGUGGGUGAAGAAGGCCUUCGGGUUGUAAAGCCCUUUUGUUGGGAAAGAAAAGCAGCAGGUUAAUACCCCGCUGUUCUGACGGUACCCAAAGAAUAAGCACCGGCUAACUUCGUG
rnacentral:rRNA from 1 species